rnacentral:rRNA from 1 species
AGUGAACGCUGGCGGUAGGCCUAACACAUGCAAGUCGAACGGCAGCACAGUAAGAGCUUGCUCUUACGGGUGGCGAGUGGCGGACGGGUGAGGAAUACAUCGGAAUCUACUUUUUCGUGGGGGAUAACGUAGGGAAACUUACGCUAAUACCGCAUACGACCUACGGGUGAAAGCAGGGGAUCUUCGGACCUUGCGCGAUUGAAUGAGCCGAUGUCGGAUUAGCUAGUUGGCGGGGUAAAGGCCCACCAAGGCGACGAUGCGUAGCUGGUCUGAGAGGAUGAUCAGCCACACUGGAACUGAGACACGGUCCAGACUCCUACGGGAGGCAGCAGUGGGGAAUAUUGGACAAUGGGCGCAAGCCUGAUCCAGCCAUACCGCGUGGGUGAAGAAGGCCUUCGGGUUGUAAAGCCCUUUUGCUGGGAAAGAAAAGCAGCAGGUUAAUACCCCGCUGUUCUGACGGUACCCAAAGAAUAAGCACCGGCUAACUUCGUG